UACAGAGGGUGCAAGCGUUGUUCGGAAUCAUUGGGCGUAAAGGGUGCGCAGGCGGAUAUGUAAGUCAGUGGUGAAAUCUUCCCGCUUAACGGGAAAACUGCCAUUGAUACUAUAUAUCUUGAAUGCUGUGGAGGUAAGCAGAAUAUGUCAUGUAGCGGUGAAAUGCUUAGAGAUGACAUAGAAUACCUAUUGCGAAGGCAGCUUACUACGCAGAUAUUGACGCUCAUGCACGAAAGCGUGGGGAUCAAACAGG
rnacentral:rRNA from 1 species